UACGUAGGGGGCAAGCGUUGUCCGGAUUUAUUGGGCGUAAAGAGCGUGUAGGCGGUUUGGUAGGUCCGCUGUGAAAACUCGAGGCUCAACCUCGAGACGCCGGUGGAAACCAUCAGACUAGAGUCCGGAAGAGGAGAGUGGAAUUCCUGGUGUAGCGGUGAAAUGCGCAGAUAUCAGGAAGAACACCCGUGGCUAAGGCGGCUCUCUAGUACGGUACUGACGCUGAGGCGCGAAAGCGUGGGGAGCAAACAGG
rnacentral:rRNA from 1 species